GGCUGAACCAGCAACUUGGAAGAAAGAAGGCAAAGCCGCUGCUGAUCAUAAAGUAUCGGUGGUAGUAACUCUGUUACAUAAAUUUCUAGGUAAAUUUUUGAUAAUGACUUAAUUUAUCUAUAAGUCUUGACCAAGUCACGUGCCAGCAGUCGCGGUAAUACGUGGAAGACAAGUGUUAUUCAUCUUUAACAGGUUUAAAGGGUACCCAGACAGUUAAUUAAGCCUUCGCAAAAGGGACUGAUUAUACUAGAGUUUUAUGAAAGAAGGCUAGAACGGUGAGUGUAGAGAUGAAAUAUGUUGAUACCACUUGGAAACUGGCAACGGCGAAAGCAACCUUUUAUGUAAAAACUGACGUUGAAGGACGAAGGCUCAAUUGAAAGAACAGGAUUAGGUACCCUAGUAUUUUGAGCAGACAAUGAUGAGUGUCAUAGAUAAGUGUAUAAGUGAUUAUAUAAUUAUUUGAUUU
rnacentral:rRNA from 1 species